rnacentral:lncRNA from 1 species
AAAGCUAUAUAAAUGCUUGCUGCUAUUAUUUCUGUUGUUGUCAUCCUAGGUCUUAAUCAUCUCAUAUUGCAGAAAAGAAAACUGAGACCCAGAGAAAGACGUCAGAGGCAGGAUUUAAAUUCUGAAUUUUUGAAUAACCAUUCCACCUUAUUUGUCUCUUAAUUGGACUGACUCUACCCAGGACUUGGGAGUAAGAUAUUUUAUCUGAGUCUCAGAUCUCUGGAUUUUGAAGUGUCUGAAAAUGAUUUAAACUUUUUGAGAUUACAGAUUCUUUUUUGGCUCACCUUCAGUUUAUCGGUCAAUCUUUUUGACUAAUAAAACUUUGGGAAGAUUCUAUUGUCAGAGAGAAGAGGAAAAUAAAAGGGGGAUCCAGGGCUGUUUACCUGGGGAUGCUUCUUGAUCUAUCCUAUUAGCUGACAACAAAGUCCAGAAAAGAAGAAGAAAGAGAUGAAGAGGAUGGUCUGCCCUCCCCAUCUGUUUGUAAAGAGUGAUUUUCCCAAGAUCACAAAGCUAGGAUGAAAACCCAAAUUCCUUGUCCUUGAAUCUACUGGGUAAAUCUAACUACAGCACUCAACAAAUCCCUAUGAAAUAAAUGGAUAAACAAAGUAAAAAAUGAUUGAGGUUCCAGGAUUCUACAUUUGGAUGAGUGAGGCAAUCAACUUUGAAUCUUAUAUUGAGUAUUAAUUUAUUUUUAUUUUUGGAGACUGCUUAAAAGAAAAUUGAGAACAUUUACUUAACAGAGGUUCUCACAUGUUUAUAAGGAAGGCCCUACCUAUAGCAAAAAGAUGUACUAGAAGACUUUCCAAGACAAUUUUCAACAUUUUGAUGGACUCAAAUCACUUUGAUGGAUAUGAUGUUUUUUAAAUCAACUUUAACUUACAAUGAUAAAUACAAGAUAUCACAUCUUAUAAUAUG